UUUCCAUCAUUAUCUUCUAUGGAGUUCUUCAUUCCCGUAUCUGUGGCCCUUAAAAUCCUACGAUUGAGUGCCUGUCUUGGAUCGGCCAUCAGUUCGUUACCUUGGUUCUCAGACGAUGCUUGCAACAACGCAAUGGGAUUCACCCACUCUUGG
rnacentral:lncRNA from 1 species